GGAGUAGUACUCAAGUGGCUGAAGAGGCGCCCCUGCUAAGGGUGUAGGUCGGGUUUUCCGGCGCGAGGGUUCGAAUCUCUCCUACUCCG
rnacentral:tRNA from 2 species